UAGUCCACGCCGUAAACGAUGUCUACUCGGAGUUUGGUGUCUUGAACACUGGGCUCUUAAGCUAACGCAUUAAGUAGACCGCCUGGGGAGUACGGCCGCAAGGUUAAAACUCAAAUGAAUUGACGGGGGCCCGCACAAGCGGUGGAGCAUGUGGUUUAAUUCGAUGCAACGCGAAGAACCUUACCUACUCUUGACAUCCAGUGAAGCAGAAAGAGAUUUUUGUGUGCCUUCGGGAACACUGAGACAGGUGCUGCAUGGCUGUCGUCAGCUCGUGUUGUGAAAUGUUGGGUUAAGUCCCGCAACGAGCGCAACCCCUAUCACUAGUUGCCAGCAAUUCGGUUGGGGACUCUAGUGAGACUGCCGGCGUAAGCCGCGAGGAAGGUGGGGAUGACGUCAAAUCAUCAUGGCCUUUAUGCCCAGGGCUACACACGUGCUACAAUGGCAGGUACAAAGAGUCGCUAAGCCGCGAGGUAGAGCUAAUCUCAGAAAACCCGUCCCAGUUCGGAUUG
rnacentral:rRNA from 1 species